AAGAUUAUAAAUUUUCAAU
rnacentral:snRNA from 1 species